GGGCCGGUCGUCUAAUGGAAGGACGCUGCCUUGGCGAGGCAGAGGUUCCGGGUUCGAAUCCCGGCCGGUCCA
rnacentral:tRNA from 1 species